CAAACCAAGUCUCAGGGCUUCUCCUAUCUGUUCCUUGCAAGACCCACCUCAGUGCCCUCUCCUGAACAGGCAUCAGUUGUCAUUUUCUCCCAGAACUGAGUGUUAGUGCCUAGGUACAGUCUGCAGCCGACUCUCACCUCCCCAGCUAUGAAUACCAUGCUCCUGUUAAUUAAGCCCUAGGCGAUCUGUGGUUUUUUGUUGUUGUUUUUUUUCUGAUUGAUCCAUCACCCCAUUGAGUCUUGCCUCCAUCCCUCAGCCACCAUCAUCAUCUCUCCAUCCCUCAGCCACGACCCCAGUUGAGGUCACAUCCUGCCCACA
rnacentral:lncRNA from 1 species